rnacentral:rRNA from 1 species
CACGUAGGGGCCAAGCGUUGUCCGGAUUUAUUGGGCGUAAAGAGCUCGUAGGCGGCUCGGUAAGUCAGGUGUGAAACCUCCAGGCUCAACCUGGAGACGCCACCUGAUACUGCUGUGGCUAGAGUCCGGUAGGGGAGCGUGGAAUUCCUGGUGUAGCGGUGAAAUGCGCAGAUAUCAGGAGGAACACCAGCGGCGAAGGCGGCUUCCUGGACACUUACUGACGCUGAGACGCGAAAGCGUGGGGAGCAAACAGG